rnacentral:rRNA from 1 species
AGCGAACGCUGGCGGCAGGCUUAACACAUGCAAGUCGAGCGGGCAUCCUUGUGGUGUCAGCGGCAGACGGGUGAGUAACGCGUGGGAACGUGCCCUUCGGUUCGGAAUAACUCAUGGAAACUUGAGCUAAUACCGGAUACGUGCGAGAGCAGAAAGGUUUAUCUGCCGAAGGAUCGGCCCGCGUCUGAUUAGCUAGUUGGUGAGGUUAUGGCUCACCAAGGCGACGAUCAGUAGCUGGUCUGAGAGGAUGAUCAGCCACACUGGGACUGAGACACGGCCCAGACUCCUACGGGAGGCAGCAGUGGGGAAUAUUGGACAAUGGGGGCAACCCUGAUCCAGCCAUGCCGCGUGAGUGAUGACGGCCUUAGGGUUGUAAAGCUCUUUUCUGCGGGACGAUAAUGACGGUACCGGAGGAAUAAGCCCCGGCUAACUUCGUG